rnacentral:tRNA from 2 species
GGCGGGGUAGCUUAGCUCGGUAGAGCGACCGGCUGUUAACCGGUAGGUCGUGGGUUCAAAUCCCACCCCCGCCG